rnacentral:rRNA from 1 species
AGAGUUUGAUCAUGGCUCAGGAUGAACGCUAGCGGCAGGCCUAACACAUGCAAGUCGAGGGGUAACAGAGAGAAGCUUGCUUCUUUGCUGACGACCGGCGCACGGGUGCGUAACGCGUAUACAAUCUACCUUUUGCUGAGGGAUAGCCCAGAGAAAUUUGGAUUAAUACCUCAUAGUAUAUAUGAAUCACAUGGUUUAUAUAUUAAAGGUUACGGCAGAAGAUGAGUAUGCGUUCUAUUAGCUAGAUGGUGUGGUAACGGCACACCAUGGCAACGAUAGAUAGGGGCCCUGAGAGGGGGAUCCCCCACACUGGUACUGAGACACGGACCAGACUCCUACGGGAGGCAGCAGUGAGGAAUAUUGGACAAUGGGCGAGAGCCUGAUCCAGCCAUGCCGCGUGCAGGAAGACUGCCCUAUGGGUUGUAAACUGCUUUUAUACAGGAAGAAACACUCCCUCGUGAGGGAGCCUGACGGUACUGUAAGAAUAAGGAUCGGCUAACUCCGUGCCAGCAGCCGCGGUAAUACGGAGGAUCCAAGCGUUAUCCGGAAUCAUUGGGUUUAAAGGGUCCGUAGGUGGAUAAUUAAGUCAGAGGUGAAAGUCUGCAGCUCAACUGUAGAAUUGCCUUUGAUACUGGUUAUCUUGAAUUAUUAUGAAGUAGUUAGAAUAUGUAGUGUAGCGGUGAAAUGCAUAGAUAUUACAUAGAAUACCAAUUGCGAAGGCAGAUUACUAAUAAUAUAUUGACACUGAUGGACGAAAGCGUGGGGAGCGAACAGGAUUAGAUACCCUGGGUAGUCCACGCCGUAAACGAUGGAUACUAGCUGUUCGGAUUUAUCUGAGUGGC